rnacentral:tRNA from 1 species
CGGGUGUAGUUCAAUGGUAGAACUUCAGCCUUCCAAGCUGAUAGCGUGGGUUCGAUUCCCAUCACCCGCU